rnacentral:rRNA from 1 species
AUUGAACGCUGGCGGCAUGCCUUACACAUGCAAGUCGAACGGCAGCACGGGAGCAAUCCUGGUGGCGAGUGGCGAACGGGUGAGUAAUAUAUCGGAACGUGCCCAGUCGUGGGGGAUAACGUAGCGAAAGCUACGCUAAUACCGCAUACGAUCUAUGGAUGAAAGCGGGGGAUCGCAAGACCUCGCGCGAUUGGAGCGGCCGAUAUCAGAUUAGGUAGUUGGUGAGGUAAAGGCUCACCAAGCCGACGAUCUGUAGCUGGUCUGAGAGGACGACCAGCCACACUGGGACUGAGACACGGCCCAGACUCCUACGGGAGGCAGCAGUGGGGAAUUUUGGACAAUGGGCGCAAGCCUGAUCCAGCAAUAGCCGCGUGCAGGAUGAAGGCCUUC